GACGAACGCUGGCGGCGUGCUUAACACAUGCAAGUCGAACGGAAAGGCCCUUCGGGGUGCUCGAGUGGCGAACGGGUGAGUAACACGUGGGUGAUCUGCCCUGCACUUUGGGAUAAGCCUGGGAAACUGGGUCUAAAACCGAAUAGGACCACGGCAUUCAUGUGCUGUGGUGGAAAGCUUUUGCGGUGUGGGAUGGGCCCGCGGCCUAUCAGCUUGUUGGUGGGGUAAUGGCCUACUAAGGCGACGACGGGUAGCCGGCCUGAGAGGGUGACCGGCCACACUGGGACUGAGAUACGGCCCAGACUCCUACGGGAGGCAGCAGUGGGGAAUAUUGCACAAUGGGCGCAAGCCUGAUGCAGCGACGCCGCGUGAGGGAUGACGGCCUUCGGGUUGUAAACCUCUUUCGCCAGGGACGAAGCGCAAGUGACGGUACCUGGAGAAGAAGGACCGGCCAACUACGUGCCAGCCGCCGCAGUAACAC
rnacentral:rRNA from 1 species